rnacentral:rRNA from 1 species
GAUGAACGCUGGCGGCGUGCUUAACACAUGCAAGUCGAACGGAAAGGCCCAAGCUUGCUUGGGUCCUCGAGUGGCGAACGGGUGAGUAACACGUGGGUGAUCUGCCCUGCACUUCGGGAUAAGCCUGGGAAACUGGGUCUAAUACCGGAUAGGACGAUGGUUUGGAUGCCAUUGUGGAAAGUUUUUUCGGUGUGGGAUGAGCUCGCGGCCUAUCAGCUUGUUGGUGGGGUAAUGGCCUACCAAGGCGUCGACGGGUAGCCGGCCUGAGAGGGUGUACGGCCACAUUGGGACUGGGAUACGGCCCAGACUCCUACGGGAGGCAGCAGUGGGGAAUAUUGGACAAUGGGCGCAAGCCUGAUGCAGCGAAGCCGCGUGGGGGAUGACGGCCUUCGGGUUGUAAACUCCUUUCGCUAGGGACGAAGCGUUUUUGUGACGGUACCUGGAGAAGAAGCACCGGCUAACUACGUG